UACGAAGGGGGCUAGCGUUGCUCGGAAUGACUGGGCGUAAAGGGCGCGUAGGCGGAUGGCUUUGUCGGGCGUGAAAUUCCAGGGCUUAACCUUGGGGCUGCGUUCGAGACGGGUUGUCUUGAGUUCGGAAGAGGGUCGUGGAAUUCCCAGUGUAGAGGUGAAAUUCGUAGAUAUUGGGAAGAACACCGGUGGCGAAGGCGGCGCUCUGGACGAGACUGACGCUGAGGCGACGAAA
rnacentral:rRNA from 1 species